UUAUCCAAAAACUUAAAAUCAGAUCUCCUAUUGUUGAAAAUUAGAAGCACGGUGAAAUCACGUAAGUGGAAGAAAUGGAACCCAAAAACUUAGAAAUUGGUUUAUCUCCUGGAACUUUCAACCGAGUUCAGAAUGAUCAAGAAUUUAUGCAAAGUUUAGCUGAUAAUGCGCUUCAAGCACAUAAUGCAGUUUAUGGUGAGGUAGUCAAAUAGUACAUACACAGGAAGCGUCAGAAGCAAGCAUCCAACCCGAGGAAGCAUCAGGAGCAAGCAUCCAACCUGAGGAGCAUACAGAUAGCCAGACGUUUUCUACUAUAGAUGGGGGGCUGGGUGAAGACGAAGACUUUGUACCGAUAGUGCAAGGCGAAAGGCAGGUGUGGCUCGAUGCUCCGACGAAACUGAUGUUAAAUUUGUUGGAAGAGCUCCGCCCUAAAGUUGGAAAAAUUGCGUCUCUGAAGAAUAAGACGAAGAUGUGGAAAAUCAUCGAGCAGACGAUGAAGGAGAAGGGAUACAACUUUAAUACAGUGCAAAUAGAAAACAAAUUUAGAUCAUUGGAGCGGCAAUAUAAACGAGUUACUCUGAAUAACAGGCAGAGCGGUCGAAGUAGACAAACAUGCCUUUACCAAAGGCUAGUGAAUAAUUAUAAUUAUUGCUUUUUUAUUUUAUUUUGGAACGAAUAUCCAUCAUCCCUUGUCAAAUUUGGUUUGCAGAAGAACUGGUUUUGGCGUUGGGUCAUCUUCAAUGUCGGAUGACCGAAAUUCAUUUCAAAACACAUAUCCAUACUACCAGAAGAAACAGCAGUAAAUAACUAAGAAACUUUACAGUGAGCUAGAUGCUAUUCUAGCUGAAAAGCGGAGCAUCAAUCCAGAAUUUAUUUGGGAAAGCUCUGACACACAGACUACGAAUACGGAAAUAAAUUCGGAUGUAGAGCAGUCUGCUGCAGGUACAUAUAUAUCCACAGAAAUAUGUACAUAUGUAUAUCAUACAUACAUCCCUGUAAUUCUUAUAAGAUGAUAUUCCAAGCUGCUCAUCAGCGAAGAAGCGAAAACCCGGUAUUGACGAUUUGCAAAAAAUACUUACAAAUAUAGCUGAGGAAAGAAAGGAAUACUACGAACAAGUUUUGGGCUUUCUAAAGAAAAAAGAGGAAAGGGAUCAGAAAAAAGAGGAACGGGAGAACCGAAAGCUAGAAUUAUUGGAAAUUAUAGCUAAAAAAUAAAUAUGUAAUAUACUUAUGGCUUUGAAA